rnacentral:rRNA from 1 species
UACGGAGGAGGCAAGCGUUAUCCGGAAUUAUUGGGCGUAAAGAGCGCGUAGGCGGUCCGUUAAGUCGGAAGUGAAAUCUCAAGGCUCAACCUUGAAAUCGCUUUCGAUACUGGCGGACUUGAGGCAGGUAGGGGAAGGUGGAAUUCCUGGUGUAGCGGUGAAAUGCGCAGAUAUCAGGAGGAACACCGGUGGCGAAGGCGGCCUUCUGGGCCUGUUCUGACGCUGAGGAGCGAAAGCGUGGGGAGCAAACAGG